rnacentral:tRNA from 1 species
GAGGGUGUAGCUCAGUGGUAGAGUGUGUGCUUAGCAUGCACGAGGUCCUGGGUUCAAUCCUCAGCACCUCCG